CCUGUGGAGUGUUAUAUCAAACGAAAGUAGUCUUCGGAUAAAAUCGGACACAAUGAAUCAGGAA
rnacentral:sRNA from 1 species